rnacentral:rRNA from 1 species
AUGGAGCUCCGCCGCGGCUGCAGUGGAGCGCGGCCGGGGAUGCAAUGGAGCUCCGCCGCGGCUGCAGUGGGGCGCGGCCGGGGAUGCAAUGGAGCUUCGUCGGAAACGCCGCGCACCGGUGGCUGCAAUGGAGCUCCGCGUUGGCUGCAAUGGAGCUUCGUCGGAACGCCGCGCGCCGGUGGCUGCAAUGAAGCUCCGUCGCGGCUGCAAUGGAGCACGGCGGGGGCGGCAAUGGAGCUUCGCCGGGACGCCGGGGGUCGUCGGCGCUGCAAUGGAGCCGCGACGGAGCACCGUCGUGCCGUCCGUGCUGCAAUGAGGUUUCAAUGGAGCACUACCGAGGUCGUCGGCGCUGCAAUGGAGCCGCAACAGAGCACCGUCGUGCCUGGCCAUGCUGCGAUGAUGUUUCAUUGGAGCACCGCCGAGGUCGUUGGAGCUGCGACGGAGCAUCUCUGGGCUGCCGGCGCUGCAGUGGAGCGACAGGAGACAGGCUCACAGACAGCGGGCAGUAGCAGCACCGGCCACCGAUGA